GGGGUUGUGGUUCAGUGGUAGAACGCUUGCCUAACACGUGGGAGGCCCUGGGUUCGAUCCUCAGCACCACA
rnacentral:tRNA from 1 species